ensembl:lncRNA
UUUUUUAAUUGUUUGAAUGUUAGUGUACAUAUCGCAAAUUUUUCCACUGUAUUACAAACUGAUUUUUUUUGACAGAAUCUUAAAAAGCAUCAAAAGUACUUAUUUUAUGCUCAGGUACAUUUUAUCAAAAACAUUUUUGCAUUAUAUUAUUUUAUGAAGCAACAUGAAAUAAUCAAGCAAUCUACUCAUUAAACAACUGAAAAACAAAUCUGUUCAGAAAAAUGCCACACUCCUGAUAACCAUUUAUUGAUUCAUGGAAAAUAUUGUAUAUUAUAACCCAGUAAUUGCUUUAUUUUCUGUAUAAAGCAGCAGUUACAGUUCUCCAACUCACCUAAUCGUGGUAUUGUCUUAUAAAAUGAGCAUGUGAUGAGCGUCUCAAUAACAAAAGGAGGAAAAUAGAUGGGAGCAAAAACACGCGAGAGAGAGCGAGAGAGAGAGAGAGAGAGAGAGAGAGAGAGAGAGAGAGAGCAAACAGAUGAAAGUGCUGGAGCAGCAGAACUCAAGGCCUAAAUCUAUUUAAUCACAAAAUAAGGACAGUUCAAGAAGUGGCAACGUAAUAUAUUCCCUGCAUAAAAAUCCUCCCAACCUCUCGCAAUGACCUGCAGCUGCUCUACCGCCUGCUUUAUCACAGAAUACAUUUACAGUAUGUGGCGAAGAAGCUUGAAGGCACCAAAAAAAUAAAUAAAUAAAUAAAAUCAUUUCAUCUAUCCACUACAGAUUGGCCUUGGAAAUUAAUAUACCCAUGCCGGCCAGAUCUGACCAAGCUUGCCACUAAAACAAGAGCGUGUAGGUCUGUGUGUGUGUCCACAGUGAGGCAGUACACACACAAACACACCCUGAACUUACACAGAGCAAUUAAGGUGCUGUUGAGUUGAUACUCUUUGUGCUUCACAGAUGUAAAAUGCCGGUCCUAAGAGCCGAUUAUCAGCUUCAGAGUAAACAGUCAUCAAACACAUGCCCUCUUACUGACAACACACAGAUCAUCUACUAUGUGUUCAGAUUGUCAUGCUACACACACCAAACAAUUCAGACAGACACAAAAAGAUGUCUAACAGGUCAGCAGUGAACAUGCCGCCACUCUUCUGAGUCUGAUUAGACAGGCAUUCAUGCAUGGCACGGCAAUAUGGCACAAAGAAAAGACACUACGAUGAGAUGAUUUCAGCUGUGAGACACUUUGGUCAGACACCUGUGGACAACAUGAUCUGAUAAUGAGAGAUACUGAGCGGCUUAUUAUGAACACUUCAAUAGCAAAGAAUACUGUGUUAUAAUAUUGAAGUAAAAUGAACAUAAAGAGCAUUCUUCAGACUUCAUAGCCUUACUGACUCUGCUGAAAAGAUGUCUAAUUCUACUGAAUUGGAAAGAGUGCUCAGUGAGGGGUGUUCUUUACUUUACAGUAUUGGAGAAAGUUAGAUACUCUCUUCAUCGACCCAGCAGUAUGUUUGUCGAGCUCUGACAACCCUUUCCUGCACAUGUCCAAGUCUCCAGCUCGAUCUUGCCCUCUGUGUUUGAUCCUUGCCUCCAUAUCUAGCCUUUAUGUACUUACCAAUUAUGUAUUGCUUGAUUAAUAUAUUGUAGGAUUGUAUUUAUGUGAGAUUGUACUUCUUUACUUUUCUAUUUUUUUUAGUGUAUUUAUAUUUUUAAAAUAAGAUCUUCAGUAUGUUUGCUCACUGUUACUAUUAUUAUUUGAGUGAUUUUUUUUUUUUUCUCCCUUUGUAAUGUAUCCUGUGGAAGCCCGUUUUCGCCACUGAAUAAAAAAUAAUAAAAGGUUACA